GGGAAACAAUGAAAUUAAUGGAGAGGUACAGCAUACCUUGGCAGGAAAGUAGAUUUGUCACCAAGUCAUAAUUUUAUUGUUCCCUCUGCAGUAUGAAAUCUGUCCAAUAGACAAUGCGUUGCAAUCAUAAUCCUGUGUGUUAAGAAUAAUAAUGGAUUAACUGCAAAGAGAAGAAUAUCUGUUCUCUUUGUGUUGUCUUGGAGGAAGACAUAGAAGAAAUUAUGCAAACUUGUAUUUUUCUUCUCCUCAGUUUACAAGGGAUUUAAGGUAUGUAAAACUCAGCAAUAGCCUUGGUUUCUAUAUCUGUGUUAAGAGAAUAAAUAAAGAUGAUAAUAGUAUGUGAUAAUUGCCCACACACAAAAUAAACUGC
rnacentral:lncRNA from 1 species